CUACGGGAGGCAGCAGUGGGGAAUAUUGGACAAUGGGGGCAACCCUGAUCCAGCAAUGCCGCGUGUGUGAAGAAGGUCUUCGGAUUGUAAAGCACUUUCACUAGGGAAGAUGAUGACGGUACCUAGAGAAGAAGCCCCGGCUAACUUCGUGCCAGCAGCCGCGGUAAUACGAAGGGGGCUAGCGUUGCUCGGAAUGACUGGGCGUAAAGGGCGCGUAGGCUGUUUGUACAGUCAGAUGUGAAAUCCCCGGGCUUAACCUGGGAACUGCAUUUGAUACGUGCAGACUAGAGUCCGAGAGAGGGUUGUGGAAUUCCCAGUGUAGAGGUGAAAUUCGUAGAUAUUGGGAAGAACACCGGUUGCGAAGGCGGCAACCUGGCUCGGAACUGACGCUGAGGCGCGAAAGCGUGGGGAGCGAACAGGAUUAGAUACCCUGGUAGUCCACGCUGUAAACGAUGUGUGCUGGAUGUUGGGUGAUUUUAUCAUUCAGUGUCGGAGCUAACGCGUUAAGCACACCGCCUGGGGAGUACGGCCGCAAGGUUGAAACUCAAAGGAAUUGACGGGGGCCGNCACAAACGGUG
rnacentral:rRNA from 1 species